UGAAGAAGUUUGCCAAAGAGCUGUAACCCUUCGCUGUGCUAUGUAAACCACCUACAGAAAAGGCAGAGGUCAGCGUGGGAAAAGAAGGGGCGCCUAGCGCCCAGAGUGACAACAAAAGUCGGUGCUUCCAGGCAUCUCAAGACGGAAAAUGUCCCUCAUUCAAUCUCCUCACCUCCUCAUCUCAGUCAUUUUCUGCAAGACCUUCUCUGACCC
rnacentral:lncRNA from 1 species